AUUGAACGCUGGCGGCAUGCCUUACACAUGCAAGUCGAACGGCAGCAUGGAGAGCUUGCUCUCUGAUGGCGAGUGGCGAACGGGUGAGUAAUGCAUCGGAACGUACCGUGUAAUGGGGGAUAACGUAGCGAAAGUUACGCUAAUACCGCAUACGACCUGAGGGUGAAAGCAGGGGGUCGCAAGACCUUGCGUUAUACGAGCGGCCGAUGGCAGAGUAGCUAGUUGGUGAGGUAAAGGCUCACCAAGGCGACGAUCUGUAGCGGGUCUGAGAGGAUGAUCCGCCACACUGGGACUGAGACACGGCCCAGACUCCUACGGGAGGCAGCAGUGGGGAAUUUUGGACAAUGGGGGCAACCCUGAUCCAGCCAUGCCGCGUGAGUGAAGAAGGCCUUCGGGUUGUAAAGCUCUUUCGGCCGGGAAGAAAUCGCACAGGCUAAUACUCUGUGUGGAUGACGGUACCGGCAUAAGAAGCACCGGCUAACUACGUGCCAGCAGCCGCAGUAACAC
rnacentral:rRNA from 1 species